UACAGAGGUCUCAACCGUUGUUCGGAUUCAUUGGGCGUAAAGGGUGCGUAGGCGGCGGGGUAAGUCAGGUGUGAAAUCUCGGGGCUCAACCCCGAAACUGCACUUGAUACUGCCUCGCUUGAGUACUGGAGAGGAGACUGGAAUUUACGGUGUAGCGGUGAAAUGCGUAGAUAUCGUAAGGAAGACCAGUGGCGAAGGCGGGUCUCUGGACAGUUCCUGACGCUGAGGCACGAAAGCCAGGGGAGCAAACGGG
rnacentral:rRNA from 1 species